AUCGUGUCGUCCAGCUAUCUCUCUCAGCCUCAUCUCCCUCUUCCCCUUCCUAGAUCGACACCCCUUCCUCUCUUGAUCGGGAUCGACGCCCCUGCUCCUCCGUCCAACCACACCUCAUCUCCUCCACCUCCUCCCUUUGGGUGAGAAGAGGAGUCCUUCUUCGCAUUUCGAGAAAGGAGAGGUUACAAGUUGGUCUUGCUUUCUAGGGUUUUGUUGUCGUCGAAUCUCAGAGUAGUAGCGGCGGAGGGAGGCAAGAUAAAGACAACCAAAGGAGGAAAGUUGAUGAACCCCACCGAUGCCUACCGGAUGGAGAUACGGAAGGAGGUCAAACGGUGGAGACGAUUCUUCAUUUGUAAGGAGGGUAACGAAGUGGGUAUAAAAUGAGAGAUUAUAAAAUUGCUGUUUAUGGCACGAUGGACUCGGUUGCCGAUCCUAUCCAAAUAAUUCAAGGCUUUCCAUGGAUGAAAGAGUGGAAAAGAGCGCGUCUUUUCUCCUCUUUUUUCCCAUUCGUUUCCUUCUAAUUUCGGUGGGUUUGGACGCUACAUAAAUUAGGGUUCUUGUUCUCAUCGACGAGGUAUGAAAAUCCAGGAUAUCGAGGUUUUGGCUGCGGAAUUUGGCCGGAUGUGGGGGGGAGAGAGGGUGGUUCUACUGGGGAAGGUCGGAGUAAGAAGCACGGAGAGAAGCAAAGGGAAUCGCUGUGCUCUUCUCGUGGCUCUCGAGCCAGGAGAGCGAUCUGAAGCCUUUCGUCGAUCUGUACUGUUCUCUCAGCAGGAGUCCCCUUGUCUGUCACGUCGACUUCCUCACGCUGAACUGUUCAGUUUAAUCUGGAUCCCUUCAAUGAGCACAAUGAUGUUGAUCUUUGGGAAGCGUUAGAGAGAGCUCAUCUAAAAGAUGUGAUUUGAAGGAAUUCAUUGGGGCUCGAUGCAGAGGUGGUAUACUCUCAAAUGGCUGACAUGGCAAAAGAAAUAGUUCGAACAAAUGGAUAUUCUGAUGGUGACCAGUGAUUCUAUAUUUGAUGAUUGUACUCCUAUGUAAUGACCACCCUCCUUACUACUACUCUCUAAGGGUGGAUGCUACUUAACUACUUAUUCUACUUAA